GACCAUGUUCUCUGGGUCUGCAGCUUGUAGAGAUGCACUCCCCAGCCAAGGUCGGAGACAUCCGAUAUUAUCGAUACCGAGGGUCAAGGGCUCCUUCCAGGACCAGCCUCGAGUUGGUUCACCACUGCAGUGAGCAGGCCCAGGGCAUGGCAUGUGACCUGCAGUACUGAGACAUCACACUAGAUCUGAGACCUGCAGCAGCCCUUGAUGAGCCAGUCAUCAAGGUACGGGUAAAUCUGGAUACCCCAAUGCCUGAGGUAAGCUGCUAUCACAGUCAUGCACUUGGUAAACACCCUUGGGGCCGUAGCCAGGCCGAACAGGAGCACCACAAACUGGUAUUGAGCAGACCCCACCGUGAAGCUCAGGAACAGACUGUGUCCUUGGAAUAUCGAUACGUGGAAGCAAAAGCAGUGAAUGGGAGCAGCUAACAGGAUAGUUUCAGAGGAAGUAUUGGAGAGAGAGAGCAAAAGAUGCUUUUCUUCUAUGUAUAAUUGUAUGCUCAAUACCAUGAUGGGCAGUGAUGAAACAAUGGUUGUG